GCCAGAUGCAGACAAAGGGUAGUAAAAGCAGCGAGAAUUUUCAUAAUUUAAACAAACCCGUUUCUGCACCAUGUACAAUUAUUAUGCUCGAGUAAUUUAAAUUUAGAUUUCGUUUCGUUGUUUGUUUCUAGGGAAUACUAUUGUCUGAAAAAUCUGGCGGAGGAAUGAGAGACAGUGACAACACGGAUGUUGAAAUAUUAAGUAAACUGGAUAUGAUUUAUUUCAAACAUUCUUUGCCGACAAGCUUAUUUGAAUUGGAUGCCCGAAAUUUUGUGUUUUCUAUUUACACAAUAUCGGAUUUACACGGCCCGGAACUGAUAUGCAAUUAUCGCCGUGGGUGUGUGAAAUUGGGGGCGUUUAAAAUUGGCAUGUUUAUAUUUAGCCGAGUCAAAGUUGAACGACGAUGGCGAUUUCAUAAGCUGCCCUCACCGAGCUUUAUUUUUCAUGAGCAUUAAAACUGCACGCUUUGGGUCCGUUGGCAAAGACCCAUUUUCUUGUCUUUGUCGACUUUUCGAAUCCCUCAUUUGUAAUUUUACAUACGAGCUGUCCGCAUUUGCACGCAGAAAACAUGACGAAAUAUGAAGUGAAUGUUGAUUCCGAAACACUUGAAUAUGCAUGUCCGACAUACAAAAAAGGAUCAGAUAUGCAACGAAAUUUUUCCAAUUGACAAUUUACGAGCGCUAGUAUUGAACAAACAGCGGCGAGGCCGUGGAUAUCCGUGCCCAGAAUUUCGAUUAUUCUAAUCGGAAGCACUUCUUGCGAUCGUGCUGUUCUCUAGGUAUCUUUAAUUCACUUUGCUGAUUUGCCGACUGAAAGCUAGCCCACAAUUCACCCCCGCAAUCGAAUAAAUCACCACGGACGCGCCUUGUUGUGACCCUAAUUUUCAGCGAAACAACAGUUUAUCAUAAUCAAUCAACGGAUUGGUUUGUUUAAUUUCAACGCUUUGUUGGAGGCCUUCCAGAGGAUAAGGGAUAUAACGAGUUUUUUGUAUUCUCUCGCCGUCAGUGUCGCAACACCAGCAAUGGUGCCGAAUUCAGAAGGCUCUCGAGGCCAAACAAUUUUUUUCGCAGCAACAUUUCGGAUUUUUAUGCCUAAAUAAAGACCUAGUUGUUUCUCAUGCUUGCUCGUAUGACUCGAAUUAAAUUUCCAUAAAGCACCGCACUGACAAUAAUCUUGUUGAAAACCGCGGCUUGUAAUAAAUCCAUUAUUCGCUGCGAUUAAUUUUUAUUAAAGUUUUCGUUUGAAAGAGGAUAAUGACAAUGGAGGUGUUAUAGUUUGGACUUGUUGCUUCAUCCUAGCAACAUGACUUAAUGUAAUAAAUACGAGCUUUUUGCUCUUGAGUGAAUGAUUGUAAUUGUUUUGGACGCUGAAGCAUGGCUUGUUUACAGAUUACAGUUCGAUGUUGCAAACAAAUUAAUGGAUUUGUGAUGUAAAUGUAGCUGUUUAGUUCAAAGUAAUGAAAGGUUGGCUCUCAAACCGAUGUGAUGUUCGUCGACCACCUGAGCAAAUCGCAUGUUAAAACCACAAACAAACCACAUCUGUGCAGUGUUUUGAAUUAAUUACAACAUCGAGAGAAUGUAAAUGCAAUCUUCGACUUGUAAUUAGUGGCAAUUAAUAUAAUGGUUAAUGUCAUCGCACUUAAUGUAAAACAGAUGUCUGUAAUUGAUACAGGGGCUUAGUGGUGUUUGUAUGUUAGUCGAUUGAUCGUCGCUGAUUGAGAUUUAAAAAAUAGUCAGACGCGUCCCCGAAAAUAGUAAUGUGACAUUGCCAAGUGAGGAUCUUGACAAUUUGGCAAGGCUGGAGCGUCUCUAAAUCCGGAGUGCAACAAGCAAUACAACCACGACGAAAAUUUACAGUCUUGAACAAAUGAGCAUAAAAAAUAUUUUUUUGGGCCCGAGGCUGCACCUGCGACCCUGAUCUCGUGAAAUAUUAUGUUUCACUAUAUUUAUCAUUUCGGGUUUAUCAUCAUUCGUCAUGUAACGUCGCGAUUUUCGACACGACUGUUCUAUUUCCAACAGUUCCAACAAAGGCAUAUUUCGCUCCUAUUUGUGUAGCUGUCUGCAAUGUGAACAUUCCGACCGAUUUUAUCGAGCAGUUUUAAUAACAACCAGUCGUAAAUCUGAAACUGAGACGUCCAUCACGCCGCUCACAAUUGGAAAAUGCUCCCGAGCGUCUUCAUCAUAUUAAAGUAAUUUAUCGCGCCUCAUUAUUAAAUCUUCACCCGGUAUUAGGCUCGUAAAUCAGCUGGGCUUGGCGGCUCUGUAAUAAACAUCACCCGUCCCACUCCUGAUUAAUUCAAAUUCAAUUUUCCCGCCGAAUUUUACAAAAAACGGGGUAAAUUUAACCGGGCCCGUAAAUCAUUCACCUCGAGUGGAUCGAGAAAAUGACUUCAAAGAGGUAAAAGCUGCUGCUUUUACCCAAAUAAAAACAUACACCGACUAGUCUUUAAAUAAAUCCGACGCGCACGUAAAUAUUCACCUUUGCCUUCGUGCAAUUUUAAAUUGUAAUCUCGAAAUGGAUGACUUCGAUUCGGAUAAAACGAUCAAAUUAUUUACUUCUAUGCCCAAUUCGGGCGCCCAAAGCGCUCGGCGGGGUUUAAUCAGCGGCCAUCGGCGCCCUCAAGGGCCGCGAUACGGGCCCUCUUGUCGUUUCCGUCAGAUGCUGCGAUUUCCGACUUGGAUAUUGCCCGGAUGGCCUUCCACUUUAUUACAAAAUCGCAUCUUGCGCCCCAAAUUGAACAAAUCCACGCGAUUCAAAAUUGCAAAAAUAUUUUUCAACGACUGAAAUCGCAUGCUAACAACUAACUAAAUUAACAGAACUACAUGAGAUCAAAUUAUUUCACUAUGUAGUCAAUCUGACUUAGAGAAUGGCUUAAAUUGAAGUCUGAAUAGCCGAUAAUUCACCUCAUCCAGCUACUAAUGGGAGUUACGUAUUUUCUUCCUUUUAUUUAAUAAACUCAAAAAAAUCAAGUAUAGAGGCUUGGACCUAAUGGUGUUAUCUUUUGGCGGCUGCUGGUAUAUUUCGCGAUAGUAAAAAGUGCUUGACCGUUAAAAGUACCGUUAAUAUGGGUACCAUCAAUCAUGGCACGAACUGAAAUUGACAUUUAUGUAGGCUUGCAGAUUACGUCUUGUAGAUUACAAUUUCAAGCCAGCCCAGCAUGUGUACAUGUAGGUUUUUUAAUAACACGCGAGAAGAAACGAGCCAUAAAAACGUAAUAAAUGACCGUCUAAUUAAAUAAUGACGGUGUGGUGUAAUUUCUCGUACAGCUCGUCAUGGAAUUAGUAUUUGCAUAAAACCCGGCAGUACAAGUGACUUACCGGCGUCGAACGUAUCCUUGAGCCGCCUCCACUGCUUGGCCUGGUGCAGCGAGUACAGCGUGAUGGCUAGAAAAAACAGAAAGCAAGCGAAGACCGCUGAGCUGAGGGCGAUGGCUUGCCAAUCCCAGACGAGCGUCUCGGCGCUGGAAAACGGUGUCUCCGUGCUGGUGAUUUCCAAGUCUCCAUCAGAGCGAUUGUUGGUGCCUUCAUGACCUGGAUGUCUGCCUCUGUGGACGUGUUUGUGUCUGUGGGGGUUGCUCGGCUGGAUGGACUUGAGCAGCUCUUUGAUGGGGCGACAGAGAGUAUCGCGGUGGAAUUCGCACGGACGAACGACAAUAUCACCUUCCACGCACUCUGUACAAUUCACACAUGACGCUAAUCUCGAGUUGAAGUAUUGUCUGCUGACGCAAAUCGACGCCGUACUCAUGCACACCAAGCUUGAGAUCACCAACAAGGAACCAUACCCUGACACCAUCACCUGGAAUCAGAUAGUAUUCAUUGAUAAUUGUCUCUAAAUAACUGCUUUAACUGAAUAAAUAAAGACGGCGGUUCAUUUGUA